UACGUAGGGGGCAAGCGUUGUCCGGAAUCAUUGGGCGUAAAGGGCGCGUAGGCGGUCAGCACAAGUCAGUUGUGAAAUCUCCGGGCUUAACUCGGAAAGGUCAACUGAUACUGUGCGACUAGAGUGCAGAAGGGGCAACUGGAAUUCUCGGUGUAGCGGUGAAAUGCGUAGAUAUCGAGAGGAACACCUGCGGCGAAGGCGGGUUGCUGGGCUGACACUGACGCUGAUGCGCGAAAGCCAGGGGAGCGAACGGG
rnacentral:rRNA from 1 species